rnacentral:lncRNA from 1 species
CAAACCGAUCAAAAAGAAAAACAAUUACUAAAAAGCAAUUGACAAAUUCAGUAACCAAGAAUAAUAAUGACAAAUAAAAAAGAAUGGCUACUUAAAUAGUUUUAACUUUCAAAGGAAUAUACAAAUGCACACAAUCCAUUAAACUCAGUACAACACAAGAAAUCAUUCUGCAUUGUACAAUCUUGAUAAACAAGAAGAUUAACUACAAAGUGAAUAUGCCAAGGAAAGGAAAAGAAAAAAAUAAAAUAAAAGCAUACCCAAACCCUCGAGAGACAGUGGUGGACAAUGGGGCAAAGCUUUACCCUGUAUCAAAAAAAAAAAAAGGAGAUUGAUCAAUAAGGAAACUCAGCAUAUCAACCUGGAAUACAAAACACAACAACAAACAUAUUACUUGCAGCCAGUGAGCUAAACCAGCAUACCAUUAGACACGCAUACUAACACUCAUUUUUCAAAUAUAUAACCUUCACUUAAAAUGAAAAUUCAAAAAAACACAGCAACUAAAAGAAAAGAAUCCAGAUGAGGAAAAAAGAAUUGGAGAAAGAUUUCUAUCACCUAGGUUACUGAGGUGGCAAUUGGCAUCCUUCAAUCCAUAAUAUAUCAAUAGUGAGAAUGGAAUUCCCUGUAUAUAUAUGUGUGUGUGAGUAGAACAGCUACUUCAGUACUACCGAAAAGAAUGAGGUGUGGUAGUGAGUUUGGACAAUGAUGGGUUUAUAUAAGGACUCUCCAAAUCCAACCCAUGAUGUCUCCAAUCCAAUGUCAUCAACUUUGUCUUUGCCUAGUUCAGGCUUCACCUUACUUCUCAAACACAAAGCAUUCUUUUGCUUCUGACUUUUGAGACACUGGAUUUUUUAACUAAACAAAGGUGUGGCAGUUAUUGUAACUUUUUCUUUCUUUCUUUCUUUCUUUCUUUCUUUUUUGGUCUAAUUUAUUGAAGAAGACAUUUAACAAAAAUUACAAUUAGUGGAAAAGAUCCUGUGUAAUUUGCUUUACUUUACUAAAUAUUGACAGAUUCUUCUCAUAAUGUAUAGAUUUUGUGCAUUUGAUUUUGUGGGGUGGGGCUAUGUUCAGUGUAUAUAGAUGCUCCAUUUUUGUAAAGAAAAAGUUGUCAUUCCAGACUGCAAGUUACUGUAAAUAGCCAAAACAAGGGAUCAUGGAUUUUACCUCCUCUUGCUUUUGGGACUGUAUUAAGUUGCAUAAUUGUGAUGGGGUCAAAGGAAUCAUCAUCGUAUCAGAUUCUCCAUUUACAUCAUCCUGUUAAUAGACAAAAGAAAAAUCAAAACAUAUAUAUAUAUAUAUAUAUGUGUGUGUUAUAAAACUUAAUUUUCAUUUAAUAAAAAAUUUAAAACAAGUCUUGUUGAUUUUAAUAGAGUCAAGACUUAUUAUCAAUUAAUUGUUUAUAAUAUAUUGGACGGAUAUUAUUAUUAUUAUUAUUUUAAUUAUAAAAUUAAAUUUAUAAAUAUAAUUUAAUAAAUUUUUUAAUAUUUAAUAUUAAUUUAUAAUAUUUUAAAAAAUAAUAAAUUAUAUAAUUAAAACAUUUAUUAAUUAUUAGAUAUAAUAUUAUAAUUAUAAUUUAAAAUGUUAUUUUUAAAUUUAUAAUUAUUAUUUAAUUAAAAAUUAAUUUAUUAAUUAACUUUGGCCGGAUUAUUCAUAAUUGCAUAUUUACAAUACAAGGCGGGGUGAUUAGUUAGACCUUUAAUUAAUUAAUUAAUUAAUUAACACCUUGUUUUUUUGACUUCUUUUUUUCUUUAAUCGGCAGGAAGUCAAAUUUAGAUUGCUAUAUAAUAUUAAAAUAUAAUUAAUAUAUUAUUUUUUAGAAUAUAAUUUGUAUUAUUAUCUAAUUAUAAAAAUUAUUUAUUAAUUUAUAUAAUUAAAAUAUAAUUAAUAUGUUAUUUUUUGAGAUUAGAGAUAAUAACUCAUUAAUCAAUAAAUUAAUAAAAAAAUUAUAUAAUUAAAUAUAAACUUAAAUAUUAUAUUCAAAAUUAAAUAUAAACUUAAAUAUUAUGUCUAAAAAUAAAUAUACAUAUCAAAAUAAAAAAUUUAUAUCGAGAAUCAAGCAUAUAUAUAUAUAUAUAUAUAUAUAUAUAUAUAUAUAUACACUCUCACACGUACACGUCUCAAAAUAAAAAUUACACGUUAAUAUAGAAUAAAAUUUAAUUUUCAUUAAGGGCAAACAUAUAAUUAUAUAAAAAGUGUAGAUUCCUUAUUUAAAUUUUUAUGUAAUUAAAGUGGCUCUUUCCCUGAAUAUCUCCAUUUCACUUUUAUAAUUUUAUAAUGGUUAAAAAAUUUUAGUUUUAAUGUAUUAUCUUAAAAUAAUUACAUAUUUAUAUGUAAUAAAAUAAUAGUUUGAAGUUUGACCCAAAUAUGGAUACAUCUGCACUCUAUAUAUUAUUCUUAAAAGAAUAUCAAAGCACGACGCUGAAGACAUUUUCAUAAAAAAAAUAUUUAUCUUAUAUAAAUAUUAAUUAUUAUUUUUAAAUAAUAAAUUUUAAUAAAGGAAAAAUACUUACUUACUCACAUAAUAAGUUAUAAUUUACUUAUUUUUAAUAAUAUAAGUUAUAUUCUGAAGUUUAAUAUAAUUAAUUUUAUAAUUUACAACGCGUAUUUACAUAAAUAUCUAUUUUUUUAAUAAUAUUUACCUUCGCAUGUGAUAAAAGUGCAAAAAUUAAUCACUUCAGCAUUUUAACAUAUGAGUGCUCCUUGAGUUUUGAAUAAAUUAUAGGUAAUUGACAUAUUCUUAUGCUAUGAUAAGGAAAAAGGAAUCAAAAGAGAUUUAGAUUACCUGAGAGUUUCCUAUCAAAUUGGAGUCAGAACAUGGAGGAAUUGAAUAUUGCCAUCUCUACAUUUUAAAAUAUUAAUCACAUAAAUAUUUAUAUAUCUUUAAUAUUUUAUCAAACAAAUACCUCCGUUUUUAUUUGUAAAUAUUUCGAUAACUUCCUUCGAGAAGGAAACGGACGUGAAUUCUUUUUCUUUAUAAUUUUUUUAUUUUUCUUACCCUGGUGAAGAAAAAUAAGAUAAUUAAAUAAGAAGUGUAAGACCAAAUUUGGUGAGCGAUUUGCAUAUUAUCAAUUAAAAUUAGUUUUUAGUGUCUUAAUUAUCACCAAUGAGCAACAUGAAUUCUUAAAUUAUUAGCAUAUUUUAAGCUUGCUACAAAAACGCAAAUGAAUUUAACAUGAAUGUGAUUAGCUUCAAAAGUUAAACGAUCAGCAGUGCAAAAAAAGGUAAAAACGAAUACGAUUCACUCACCAUUGUCUUGAAAACGAGAGCUAAUUACGAGAAUUGAAUAUUUGAAACUUCAUAUGUUUUGUGAUACAUUCUGCCGAUAAAUAUUAAACUAGAAAUAAGAAGAGAAUGGAUCUUAAUAUUUAAACAUAAAGUGAAUAAAAUAUCG